ACUGGGCGUAAAGGGUCUGUAGGUGGUUUGUUAAGUCAGAUGUGAAAGCCCAGGGCUCAACCUUGGAACUGCAUUUGAUACUGGCAAACUAGAGUAUGGUAGAGGAAUGGGGAAUUUCUGGUGUAGCGGUGAAAUGCGUAGAGAUCAGAAGGAACACCAAUGGCGAAGGCAACAUUCUGGACCAAUACUGACACUGAGGGACGAAAGCGUGGGGAUCAAACAGGAUUAGAUACCCUGGUAGUCCACGCUGUAAACGAUGAGUACUAGCUGUUGGAUUCGGUGUAAAGGAUCUAGUGGCGUAGCUAACGCGUUAAGUACUCCGCCUGGGGACUACGGCCGCAAGGCUAAAACUCAAAGGAAUUGACGGGGACCCGCACAAGCGGUGGAGCAUGUGGUUUAAUUCGAUGCAACGCGAAGAACCUUACCUGGUCUUGACAUCCUGCGAACUUUCUAGAGAUAGAUUGGUGCCUUCGGGAACGCAGUGACAGGUGCUGCACGGCUGUCGUCAGCUCGUGUUGUGAAAUGUUGGGUUAAGUCCCGCAACGAGCGCAACCCCUAUUGAUAGUUACCAUCAUUAAGUUGGGUACUCUAUUGAGACUGCCGCUGACAAGGCGGAGGAAGGUGGGGACGACGUCAAGUCAUCAUGGCCCUUACGACCAGGGCUACACACGUGCUACAAUGGGUAUUACAGAGGGCAGCGAAGUAGCGAUAUGGAGCGAAACUCAGAAAGGUACUCUUAGUCCGGAUUGCAGUCUGCAACUCGACUGCAUGAAGUCGGAAUCGCUAGUAAUCGCAGGUCAGAAUACUGCGGUGAAUACGUUCCCGGGUCUUGUACACACCGCCCGUCACACCAUGGGAGUGGGUUGCUCCAGAAGUAGAUAGCUUAACGAAUGGGCG
rnacentral:rRNA from 1 species